rnacentral:rRNA from 1 species
CCUACGGGAGGCAGCAGUGAGGAAUAUUGGUCAAUGGCCGGAAGGCUGAACCAGCCAUGCCGCGUGAAGGUCAGUGCCCUAUGGGCGUUAAACUUCUUUUGUGCGGGAGCAAUAAUGGUCACGUGUGGCCAGACGAGAGUACCGUACGAAUAAGCCUCGGCUAACUCCGUGACAGCAGCCGCGGUAAUACGUGGGAUGCAAGCGUUCUCCGGAUUUAAUGGGUUUAAAGGGUGCGUAGGCUGUGAGGUAAGUCAGCGGUGAAAUGGCCCCGCUCAACGGGUUGAAGUGCCAUUGAUACUGCCUUGCUGGAAUGCGGAUGACGUGGGAGGAAUGUGUGGUGUAGCGGUGGAAUGCAUAGAUAUCACACAGAACACCGAUUGCGAAGGCAUCUCACGAAUCCGCGAUUGACGCUGAUGCACGAAAGCGUGGGUAUCAAACAGGAUUAGAUACCCUGGUAGUC